rnacentral:pre_miRNA from 1 species
AGGAGGAAUAACCGCAGUGGCGGGGCCAGCUCUGGAGCCCUGGAUUUAUCUCCCGCAGUAACUCCGGAGCUCUCCAUCUGCAGGGCCUGGAGGCUCCGGGGCGGG